GUAAGGGAUACAUCAAUGAUCAUGGCAUAAUUCGUCUGACUGUGCUCUCUGCUAAGCAGUAAAGUUAGAUGGACAGGUUUGGUGUAGGAUGGGCUUUUUUUUUUUAAAGACUGUCUCAAAAAAAAAGACUGUCUCAAAAAACACACACAAAAAAAACAAAAAACCCUCUGACCAGGCUGGAGUGCAGUGGUGCGACCAUGCCAAACUCCUGGGCUCAAGGGAUCCUCCCAUCUCAGUCUCUUGAAUAUCUGGUGCUAUAGGCAUGCACCACCAUGCCUGGAUAAUUUUCACGUGUUGGUCACGUGAAGAUGACAGACGAUGAGCUUGUGUAUAACAUUCACCUGGCUGUCAAUUUCUUGGUGUCACUGCUCAAGAAAAACUGGCAGAAUGUCCGGGCCUUAUAUAUCAAGAGCACCACGGGCAAGCCCCAGCGCCUAUAUUAAGGCACAUUUGAAUAAAUUCUAUUACCACUCUUCUCUGUCUCUGAAG